AUUGAACGCUGGCGGCAGGCCUAACACAUGCAAGUCGAGCGGAUGAAGAGAGCUUGCUCUCUGAUUUAGCGGCGGACGGGUGAGUAAUGCCUAGGAAUCUGCCUGGUAGUGGGGGAUAACGUUCCGAAAGGAACGCUAAUACCGCAUACGUCCUACGGGAGAAAGCAGGGGACCUUCGGGCCUUGCGCUAUCAGAUGAGCCUAGGUCGGAUAGCUAGUUGGUGGGGUAAAGGCUCACCAAGGCGACGAUCCGUAACUGGUCUGAGAGGAUGAUCAGUCACACUGGAACUGAGACACGGUCCAGACUCCUACGGGAGGCAGCAGUGGGGAAUAUUGGACAAUGGGCGAAAGCCUGAUCCAGCCAUGCCGCGUGUGUGAAGAAGGUCUUCGGAUUGUAAAGCACUUUAAGUUGGGAGGAAGGGUUGUAACCUAAUACGUUGCAAUUUUGACGUUACCGACAGAAUAAGCAC
rnacentral:rRNA from 1 species